UACGAAGGGGGGCUAGCGUUGUUCGGAAUCACUGGGCGUAAAGGGCGCGUAGGCGGCGGUUCAAGUCGGGGGGUGAAAGCCUGUGGCUCAACCACAGAAUGGCCUCGAUACUGGACGGCUCGAGACCGGAAGAGGUCAGUGGAACUGCGAGUGUAGAGGUGAAAUUCGUAGAUAUUCGCAAGAACACCAGUGGCGAAGGCGGACUCACUGGCCCGGUACUGACGCUGACGGUGCGAAAGCGUGGGGAGCAAACGGG
rnacentral:rRNA from 1 species